AAACAAACAAACAAACAAACAAACAAAACCAAACAAACAAAACCAAACAAACAAAAAAACUGUUCGUGGCCACCAUUCUGCAAAAAUCAUGAAGACUAAUACGCUAGUCUGCUACUCCAGAGGAACCAGGGCUGCUGCAAGUGAUUUGUGGUCCAGUUUCAUCCUUCACCUCCAUCAGUUUCGGCACACAAGCCACAUAGGAUAGAACCGUAAUAGUGGACAAAGCAGGAGAAACCCACAGGGUGUCCAGGCAUUGAAUGCACAGCAGACUGGAAGGAUGAAGGAGAGUAUGGAACAGGCACAGGUUAACUAACACCUGGGUAGAGAACAUCAAAAUAUGCCAUCCAAAUGAACACUUGUUAUAAGGAACAAGGAGAGAGAACUUCUCACUCACCCCUGACAUAUUCAUGAGAGAGUUACAGUUUGGUUUUGAAGAAUGGAACAAAGGCAAGAACUGUGCAUAUGCAGAUGCGAUGUCAUUCUCACAUCAUCAAAACCGGGAGAAAAUAUUUAUGCUGCUGGU
rnacentral:lncRNA from 1 species